AAGCGUUGUUCGGAAUUAUUGGGCGUAAAGCGCGUGUAGGCGGUUUGUUAAGUCUGGUGUGAAAGCCCUGGGCUCAACCUGGGAAGUGCAUUGGAUACUGGCAAACUUGAGUACGGGAGAGGAUAGUGGAAUUUCGAGUGUAGGGGUGAAAUCCGUAGAUAUUCGAAGGAACACCGGUGGCGAAGGCGGCUAUCUGGACCGAUACUGACGCUGAGACGCGAAAGCGUGGGGAGCAAACAGGAUUAGAUACCCUGGUAGUCCACGCCGUAAACGAUGGGCACUAGGUGUUGCGGGUAUUGACCCCUGCAGUGCC
rnacentral:rRNA from 1 species